UUUCCGUAGGUGAACCUGCGGAAGGAUCAUUAAAGUUAUAGUCCCCCGGCCCUCUGGGCUGGGGUCUUCUAUACCACCCUUUGUUCAUUACACCUUUGUUGCUUUGGCAGGCCUGCCCUCGGGCUGCUGGCUCCGGCCGGCUCGCGUCUGCCAGAGGACCUAAACUCUGUUUGUAUAUGAAGUCUGAGUACUAUAUAAUAGUUAAAACUUUCAACAACGGAUCUCUUGGUUCUG
rnacentral:misc_RNA from 1 species